CACAAUAUAAAUAAAUUUUUAAUGAAUCAAUUAAUUUAAUUGAAUCAAAAUAAAAAUGCUUUAUUCAUUUGGAAAAUGUAUAUUAUGACAUACAUAGUUUUAAGCCUUAAACAAUGAAGACUAUGUCAAGCAAUUUAAUCUUUCAAUUCGCUUGAGGAGUUGCUGUCAUCUUCACUAACGCGUAUCUAUACGGAUAUCGUGGUCAAAGUCAUCAAAUAUAAUCUUUUUAGUUUUUUCAAUCACCUUCAUCCAGUCAUCUCUUGUGACUUUUUCGCAUG
rnacentral:misc_RNA from 1 species